UACGUAGGGGGCAAGCGUUGUCCGGAUUUAUUGGGCGUAAAGAGCGUGUAGGCGGCCAGAUAGGUCCGUUGUGAAAACUGGAGGCUUAACCUCCAGCUGUCGAUGGAAACCAUCUGGCUAGAGUCCGGAAGAGGAGAGUGGAAUUCCUGGUGUAGCGGUGAAAUGCGCAGAUAUCAGGAGGAACACCGAUGGCGAAGGCAGGUCUCUGGGCCAUAACUGACGCUGAGAAGCGAAAGCAUGGGGAGCGAACAGG
rnacentral:rRNA from 1 species